AUUUUAAAAUUCGUUAGAAGGGUACCAUGUUUAAUUAAAUAAAUAUAAUAACUAAGUUAUUAAACUUGGUUAAAUGUUUAAGAAAACAAUCAAGGGAAGGAAAUUACUACAUUUGUGAUCAAGUAACAACUAGAGGGGCCAAGGUUGUCAAUAAAGAGGAAAGUUUAUGUUUAAUUAAAAUAAAAAUUAAAACCCCAAAAAAAAUACACACUCAGUGUGUGUGUGUGGGUCGAUGUUCGACCAGGAGAGAAGGGAAAAGGGGUAAAACCCUAGAUCACCAAAAUCCAUCAAAUUGAAGGAGGAUUGAAGGGCUAAUCGAAUGCAUGAAACAGGAAUGUCGAUCAUUUAAGUGUUUCUACCAUCAUCUAAGUCGAAUUUGGUAUUUUAAUGAUGUUUGAUCAAGUGGGUUUUGUGUAAUCUGUGAUUAUAGUGUAAGAUUUAAGCAUGAAUGUUAGUGAUAAUGAAUGUGUAGAUGCCAAAGUAUGUUUAAUUUUGAUUAUGAUGAAUAUUGGGGGAAAACCCAUUUGCUAUAGGUAGGGUGGCGACAUGGGUAUACUACCCAUGUCAAAUCUUAUGCAAAUUCGGAUGUGUUAUGAUUUAUGUUAUUGGUUUUUUUGUCAGUUAGAUUUAGUAUGGUGUGAAGUUAUGCGAGUUUUAUUUAGAUGUUAAUGGCAAGUGAGCACAAGAAUUAGGAAGAUGAACAUGAGAGUAUUUGUACAUUAUGCUUAAAUGCGAAACCCGCCAAGUGUUUGAUAAAAUGCCUACAAAGUUUGUGUAAAAUAGUUAGUAAAUUCGUCACUUUGGACAGCCUUAGAUAGUCAUCUUGUAAAGGCCGUAUCUCAUUCGUUAUUAGGAGUUAGACAACGAGCCUUAUAUCGUUGAAAAGGUUGUUUCGCAUAUUACGUUUCAUAUUUGGUCAUAAGAGGCUGGUUAUGAGAUUUAGUGGGUCAAAACAGCAUGAAAAGUUAGUAAAUUCGUUUUGACAGCAAGCUGUUUGGAAGCAUUUCAGCUUCUGUGCUGAUUUUGUAAAAAUCAUAUAAAAUCAUAGAAAUGUCCGAUUGUUACGAUCUUUAUAUGCUUAGAAAGAUCUCUGAGUGUAGAUCAUUUCAUAUUUGAACAUGAAGAACUGAAUCAGAAGAUAAAUGGGUUAAAAUGUGUCGUGAACAGCUGCUGCGCAGAAAGUUGCUGCACAAAUUUAGUAUAAAUAUUCAGUAAAAAUAGUUGUAUUGUUAUGCACACUUGUAUGAAUCAUGAACUACUGAUUUUAAUAAAUUAUUAGUAAGUUAUUUGAUUGUUUUAAGUGUCUAAAACACUUACCAACUAGUUUAUGCAUAUAAUUGCACCAACGGGUCGAAACGGGUUGUUGAUAGAAAAUAGUAGAAUGGAUGUGUAAAAACCAAGGUGUUAAGAAAUGGUAUGAAAUGUUUAACAUAUGAAGCAAGUUGCCUAACUUAGAAAAUGUUAUCAUUCUAAGUAUGGAAAUUUUGAAAGAAUAACGAACAUGAUGUAAAUACAUAAUUAUGCAUGCUAGAAGCUCAUGUAUGACUUUUGUGAUGAUGGAAUGAUAAAUUGUUAGAUUGAUUAGCAUUGUAGUAUUAUGAUACAUGGUGAACUCGUUAAGCGAUUGACACGUGAAUAGAAGUGUGAUUAGUGAUGCGUAUGAUUAUGUAUACUAACUAUUGAAUGGAUGUAAUGGAAUGAGAUAAUAGGAACGUGUCGAGGAGAGGUCAAGCAUAGGAGGAUAACGGGUCAAGAUAAGGCAAGGUGACAAAUACACUUAUUGGAGUACUCAAGGUAAGUGAAUUUCGAUUCACUUUUUAGUAGGUUUAAUAGAUUUUAAUACUUAUGUUUAUGAAACAUCAUGAAAGAACAUGUAAUAAUCAGAAGUACAAAGUUAAUAAUGCCUCAUUAUUGAAGAAGGUUGUUAUUUAAGCCGAAAGUAAAAUUGGUGGGUUUAAACGGGUCGAAUUUUAUGUGCAUGUGUUGCGUAAUGUAAUGAAAUUCGUUAUGGUUAAGACCUUGGGUAAGAAUUUUUAGUCAAUUAUGUAAGGGGAACAUUUUCCGGACCAUUAGGAACAAGUUUUAUAUAUGAUUCGGUUGUGUAUGGGUCAAGAUAUGGUAGUUUUAAUGUUUAAAAUGGAAGUUGAGCUGGGCACUACCGUAGCUUACGGUAGCCACCGUAAGCUACGGUGGGUUCUGAAGUCUUUCGGGCCACCGUAAGGCAGCAGCACUUCACCGUAAGGGUUUUAUGGCCACCGUAAGCUACGGUAGCCACCGUAGUUUACGGUGGAGCUGUCGCGCCCCGCGUAAUAGUAAGCUAUGGCUUACGCGGCCCGCGAGGGACCGUGCUGUUGGCUUUUUGCUGAAAUUGUGAUGUUUUGAGUAUGAGACUUGUCUAAAAAUGAUUUUUCUAAGGCCACGUACGUUAUGAUAAGGAUGGUUUCAUAUAUCAAUGAUGUAAAGGUUGUCGGUUAGUGAAUGAACGGAUCGUUUCGUGUUAGUGUAGGAAAAUUUAUAAGUAUAGGUGUAUAGGAAUCCAAAAGGCAUGUGGGUUGAAUCAUAGAUUGUCUAUGCUAUGUAAGGUUGGGAAUGUGUCAUUCUGGCAUAAACCUACAUGUAAGAAAUGGUAAAAGAAGCUUGUGUAUAUAUUCGUGAUUAAUUGAUUGUGCGUAGGAAGGAAUCAUUGGCAUGUAUGAAGGUACGCAUGUAUAUAUAAGUAUAUAUAUAUGUAUGUAUGUAUGUAUGAUAAUAAGUACGUAGGUAUGAAUGUAUAUGUGAAUGAAUGUUCAAUGCUUAAGACAUAUGCAUGAACGUUAUCAAAGUGUUCGAGUAUUUAUGGUUACUAAUGAUGUGCGUUGAGUUGGAAUGUAAUGUAGGUAUGGGAUUGUUGGCUUCAUGAAGAAAUGGAGCUGGAUUUGGAUAAGAGUAUUUAAGAAAGCGCUUGGACAAUUCCAUGAUUACUUUAUGGAAUGCUCUACGAAAUUCUAUUAUAUAGGUUAAUGUUGUAUGGUAUGUUAAUGACUAAUGGUUUGGUUGUACGUGGUGUCCACAGGUAUCGCUUGGGUUUUCUCUACAUUUAUUGAAGUCAAGCAGGGCUUAGUUCGAGUUGAGAGCAAGGAUUGUACGGGGUAGAACGAUCACACAAUGAGAUUUAUAUAAGUCUUGAUGUGUAAAUCUGUUUAAAUGAAUAUAUGGUAUUUCGUAUUUGAACCUUCAUGUGAUUGACAUGUCUAAUAAAGAAUGAAAUUUUUGGACUCAUGUUUUCCGUUGCGUCGAUUUAAGUUCUUAUAAGUUGGUCAGACAGGGAAUUGCUCUUAUUACGAACGGGUCAUGCCUGAAUUUUAUUAUAAUAAUAGCAUGAUAAUAUUACUUUCGGAUUUGGAAAUCUGGGUGUUACAAGUUGGUAUCAGAGCCCUGGUUUGAGCGAAAUCAAGUAUGAUGAGGCAAAUACUUGAACUCAAACCUGCGCGCUCUUGUGAUCAGGAACCCGUACAAUCCGAGACUCGAUCAAGAUCUAAAGGUGGAAGCGAAUGUAAGUGUGUACUUAAGUAUGUAUUUGAAAACUAACAGUAUGUCAUGUGUAAGGUAAGGAUAAUUGCUUGGAAGAGGAUGAUUCGUGAAUGCGGUCUAGGACCGACACCAAGGUAUGUAAUAAGACCAUUGCCCAGGUACGUAAAUUUUGCAUAAGGGUGCAUGUAAUGCUAAAAGUUAUCGAGUGAAGGAAAAUUUUAAUGAAAUAUAAUAAUAUAAUGGAAACGAAGUUAUGAAAAUGUUACACGUGCCGAAACCUAAUUCUUCAGACAUAAGGUGACGAUUACACGAAGACACGAAACUAGUAUGUGGAUUGUGUACCUGGCCAGUACACAAGAAACAUAUGACGUUCGUGAGACCGUAAUGAUUGUUACAGGUAUGUCAGUUAGAAUUAGGUAGUAGGUGGACAUGAGGGUGAAAAGAAAUGUAAGACUUUCUGAAAUGAAAGUAUGAAUGAUAUGUUAGAAUCCGCGAGACGGAUUCGAAACAUGAAAGGAAUGAAAGUAUGAAUGAUAUGUUAGAAUCCGCGAGACGGAUUCGAAACAUGAAAGGAAUGAAAGUAUGAAAGAUAUGUUAGAAUCCGCGAGAUGGAUUCGAAACAAAGAAGGAAAGAAAGUAUGAAUGAUAUGUUAGAAACCGCGUGACGGUUCGAAACAUAAUAAACGAUAAGAAUGAAAAGAUUCGAAGUUGUAGGUAAUUACGGACUAAGGAAUUAAAUAUUCUUUAAAAAGCAAAUAUUAUCCAAGUUAUGUCUUAAACUUAUAUAUAUAUACAAAUAUGUUUGUAUGCAAGAAUGGUUAAAGAGACGAAUGAGUCAUGCGGGUCAAAUGGUAAUAGCCAUUUAAACCGAUAUUUAGUGUUUUGAUUUGUUAAGUUUUAUACUUGUAGGUGAGCAUAAUGUUUGGCACGUAAACCUAAAUUUUGACGAAAGAAAGAAGUUUUGAACAUGUUAUGUUUUAGAUGUGUUAGUAAUCAACUCUUAGGAGUCGUAAUAAAUGACGGGCUACGAUCCGGACAAUAAUUUAAGUAUAAUUGGGAAGGGUAAGUUAUGGCAAGAAUACUGAAUUGAUGUAAUGAAUGUCUUGGCAAGUAAGCAUGAAUGAAAAAGAAGUAAGAACGUGUACUUUAAUACAUAUACGAUAAAUAAGACAUGUCAGUUUGACCUCGAAAAGUCAAACUGUAAAGGUUGACGAAAUAAGAAACUGGAAUAAAAGAAUUGCAUGUAAGGGAUGAAAUGUGGGAUGUGUUAUAGCAUGUAUGUAGGAAGAAGUAAAGGGAUAAUAGGUGGGUAAUCAUCUAGUAUAAUGAUUGUUUGAAUGAAAGGUGCUAAUCGACAAUUUUGUAGAUGUUAAUGGUGGAAUUCUGAAUAUGAUGAAACCAAUCGAAUUGUUAAAAGAAUGUGCACGAGUGGAAGCCCAUUACAAGAAUGAAUGAAAGCUGGCCUGGUACGGUUAGUACUUGUGAAGAAGCGGAUCAAUAUGGUUUACGGAUCGCUGAAGUAUGAAAUGAAAUCAAGGUAAGUAAAAUGUUUUAACUCAUGCCAGAUAGAUAUGGAUUAGUAAAUUGAAAACGGCUUACGAGAUGAGUGAUGGGAUAUGUAUGGUAUGGUAUGGAAUGUUUGACUUUAAUAGUUGACGUUAGAAGAAAACUAUGCCAUUAAGAACUAAAUCUUAAAGGUUUUGAGCAAAAAAAAAUAAAAAAAUAAAAAAUUUCGGGUAUUAGUUAAGCUCUCGUCUAAUGAACUUGCAUGACGCGCUUGCUUAUGCGACUUAAGUAAUGCAUGAAAUGAAAGGAAUAGUAAUGUAGAAUGAAUGAGGUGAGUUGAAGGUAACGUAAGGGUAUGCAUGGUACAAACCACUAUAGGAAACAUAGAAUGAUGUUGACCUUGGUGUUAAGCACGUACGCGUGACCAUGAAAUAGAAACUUCGUUGUGAUAACAAAAUAAUAAUUAAAUGUUAUGUAAUAAAUGUAAAGAAUGAAAUCUUAAAGGAUGAGGUGAAGGUAUUAGAUCUGUUAUGAACGGAUUGUAUGAAUGUAAGUAUUAUUACAAGUUUGAAUAAGUAUGUAUAUUAACCUAUUACUAACGGGUCAAGGAAAUGAGGAUGUUAGGUGGAAGUAUGGUAUAGAAAGUAUAGACUUGUUAGAAAAAAAAAAUCAAUUGAAUGAAAAAUAUAUGAACUGAGAUCGGAUGGUUACUUAUAAUUAUGAUGCAAUUGUUAAAGUUAAACAUAAAGGGGGUAUGUAUAAAUUACGAAGGGAAGAUAUUAGUAUCAAAUGGAAACAAGAAAGAGGUUUCGGGGACGAAACCUCCUUUAAGGGGGGUAGAUUUGUAACAUCCCAAAACGCGAAUUUUAAAAUUCGUUAGAAGGGUACCAUGUUUAAUUAAAUAAAUAUAAUAACUAGGUUAUUAAACUUGGUUAAAUGUUUAAGAAAACAAUCAAGGGAAGGAAAUCACUACAUUUGUGAUCGAGUAACAACUAGAGGGGCCAAGGUUGUCAAUAAAGAGGAAAGUUUAUGUUUAAUUAAAAUAAAAAUUAAAACCCCAAAAAAAAUACACACUCAGUGUGUGUGUGUGGGUCGAUGUUCGACUAGGAGAGAAGGGAAAAGGGGUAAAACCCUAGAUCACCAAAAUCCAUCAAAUUGAAGGAGGAUUGAAGGGCUAAUCGAAUGCAUGAACCAGGAAUGUCGAUCAUUUAAGUGUUUCUACCAUCAUGAACGUGUCGAGGAGAGGUCAAGCAUAGGAGGAUAACGGGUCAAGAUAAGGCAAGGUGACAAAUACACUUAUUGGAGUACUCAAGGUAAGUGAAUUUCGAUUCACUUUUUAGUAGGUUUAAUAGAUUUUAAUACUUAUGUUUAUGAAACAUCAUGAAAGAACAUGUAAUAAUCAGAAGUGCAAAGUUAAUAAUGCCUCAUUAUUGAAGAAGGUUGUUAUUUAAGCCGAAAGUAAAAUUGGUGGGUUUAAACGGGUCGAAUUUUAUGUACAUGUGUUGCGUAAUGUAAUGAAAUUCGUUAUGGUUAAGACCUUGGGUAAGAAUUUUUAGUCAAUUAUGUAAGGGGAACAUUUUCCGGACCAUUAGGAACAAGUUUUAUAUAUGAUUCGGUUGUGUAUGGGUCAAGAUAUGGUAGUUUAAUGUUUAAAAUGGAAGUUGAGCUGGGCACUACCGUAGCUUACGGUAGCCACCGUAAGCUACGGUGGGUUCUGAAGUCUUUCGGGCCACCGUAAGGCAGCAGCACUUCACCGUAAGGGUUUUAUGGCCACCGUAAGCUACGGUAGCCACCGUAGCUUACGGUGGAGCUGUCGCGCCCCGCGUAAUAGUAAGCUAUGGCUUACGUGGCCCGCGAGGGACCGUGCUGUUGGCUUUUUGCUGAAAUUGUGAUGUUUUGAGUAUGAGACUUGUCUAAAAAUGAUUUUUCUAAGGCCACGUACGUUAUGAUAAGGAUGGUUUCAUAUAUCAAUGAUGUAAAGGUUGUCGGUUAGUGAAUGAACGGAUCGUUUCGUGUUAGUGUAGGAAAAUUUAUAAGUAUAGGUGUAUAGGAAUCCAAAAGGCACGUGGGUUGAAUCAUAGAUUGUCUAUGCUAUGUAAGGUUGGGAAUGUGUCAUUCUGGCAUAAACCUACAUGUAAGAAAUGGUAAAAGAAGCUUGUGUAUAUAUUCGUGAUUAAUUGAUUGUGCGUAGGAAGGAAUCAUUGGCAUGUAUGAAGGUACGCAUGUAUAUAUAAGUAUAUGUAUAUGUAUGUAUGUAUGUAUGAUAAUAAGUACGUAGGUAUGAAUGUAUGUGUGAAUGAAUGUUCAAUGCUUAAGACAUAUGCAUGAACGUUAUCAAAAUGUUCGAGUAUUUAUGGUUACUAAUGAUGUGUGUUGAGUUGGAAUGUAAUGUAGGUAUGGGAUUGUUGGCUUCAUGAAGAAAUGGAGCUGGAUUUGGAUAAGAGUAUUUAAGAAAGCGCUUGGACAAUUCCAUGAUUACUUUAUGGAAUGCUCUACGAAAUUCUAUUAUAUAGGUUAAUGUUGUAUGGUAUGUUAAUGACUAAUGGUUUGGUUGUACGUGGUGUCCACAGGUAUCGCUUGAGUUUUCUCUACAUUUAUUGAAGUCAAGCAGGGCUUAGUUCGAGUUGAGAGCAAGGAUUGUACGGGGUAGGACGAUCACACAAUGAGAUUUAUAUAAGUCUUGAUGUGUAAAUCUGUUUAAAUGAAUAUAUGGUAUUUCGUAUUUGAACCUUCAUGUGAUUGACAUGUCUAAUAAAGAACGAAAUUUUUGGACUCA